GCUUCCUUAGGAUAUAAUUUUGGCUCUUCAGCAUCGGACACGAGGCUCCCUAGCACACUUGUCCGGUUUCAUCUCUUACUUCUUCCUGUUCAUCUAUGGAAGCCUGGGUCUUCAUUCACGGAAAUAUCUCGCUUGGACUCUUCCCUGGACUAACUUCUACUCAUCUUCUAAGACUCCACUGAGGUAUUCACUUAGUCAUCACAUAUUUACUGACUGGCACCACAUUUAAAGCACGGUCUUCCCCGAUCCCAUGAGUCUGGGUAGGCACCCUCCGGCAUGCUCCCGCCCUCCUCUUGGGCCUUCAGCCCCUCAGACUAGCACGGCGCCAGGCUCACCGCUGAAACACAUGCCAACGGAUUUGAGGACUGUCAGGAGGACGGGUGCUGAGUGAUCAGGUCUCCAUGGCCACCAGUGAGGCCCCACGCCCUGCAGUGAGGACUUCCCAAGGGGAUGAGAACUAGUGGAGCCUGGCCCAUCUUCCCAAGUUGCUCGUUCACUCUCGGGUCCUGGGCUAAUUGUACGUGGUGGAAACGAAGGAUGGAAGUGAACAAUUGUUCCGAGAAUCUCACUGCUGAAAGUUGGUGUGGAUGAUUCACAACAAACUGCGGGUGCCUUGGCUGGAAUAGCUGGUGUUUCGUCUACACAACCCCAAUUCGUCACAUACUGGCUGAUCUGUUCUUCAUCAGGGGGAGAACGUGUAGUUACGUGAAGGUUGUGUUUGUAUCUGGAGAAAGCUAGUGUCUCAGGCACAGGUGGUAGGGGAGAUAAUCUCAACCAGCACCGUGUUGCAAAAGAGUUCCCUUCACAUGCUGUUUACUUUAAGUGAAGGAUAAAUUUCUGCUCCAAAUGCUUCUCUGUUGCACAGAUCAGUGAUUCACCAAAAUGGGGGUGGCAGGCAGCCAGACAUGCCCAAUGGAAGGGCAUGCAGGCAUCACCUGGGCAUUUCAUUUUAUUUUCUGUAAACUGCACCACCAUCUUCCGGGGCCAUCUGCAGAGAAUCACCAAUGAUUUGGACUUGUUUCUGUUGGGAGUAGGUCUUGGUCCUUAGGUGAGUCAAGGCUCAAAACGUGCUGACAACCACUGACACUGGUAGAAGGAUCUAUUGGUUUUGACCAUGAAACAAGCACCUUACUUGGUCCCCUACCCUUUUAUUUUAAAGGAAAUGACCUACUGUUAUGUUCUCUGAAUUCUUAAGACUUCUCAAACUCACUUUUUUAAAAAAAGAUUUUAUUUAUUGAUUUGACAGAGAGAGACAGCCAGUGAGAGAGGGAACACAGGCAGGGGGAGUGGGAGAGGAAGAAGCAGGCUCCCAGCAGAGGAGCCUGAUGCGGGGCUUGAUUCCAGGACUCUGGGAUCACGCCCUGAGCUGAAGGCAGACGCUUACUGACUGAGCCACCCAGGCGCCCCCUCAAACUCACUUCUCAACAUCCCAAUUGUCACCACCCUAGUCC